rnacentral:tRNA from 1 species
AUGUUUUUAGUAUAUUAGUACAUUUACCUUCCAAGUAAAAAGAUUAUAAAAAUAAAAAACAUA